rnacentral:rRNA from 1 species
UACGUAGGGGGCAAGCGUUGUCCGGAAUCAUUGGGCGUAAAGCGCGUGUAGGCGGCCCGAUAAGUCCGCUGUGAAAGUCCAGGGCUCAACCCUGGAAUGCCGGUGGAUACUGUCGGGCUCGAGUCCGGAAGAGGCGAGUGGAAUUCCUGGUGUAGCGGUGAAAUGCGCAGAUAUCAGGAGGAACACCGAUGGCGAAGGCAGCUCGCUGGGACGGUACUGACGCUGAGGCGCGAAAGCUAGGGGAGCGAACAGG